rnacentral:rRNA from 1 species
GAGGAAGUAAAAGUCGUAACAAGGUUUCCGUAGGUGAACCUGCGGAAGGAUCAUUAUUGAAAUAAACCUGAUGGGUUGUUGCUGGUUCUCUUGGGAGCAUGUGCACGCCUUGUCAUCUUUAUAUCUCCACCUGUGCACUUUUUGUAGACCCCUUAUCUGGUCUAUGUUGGCUUCAUUAUACCCCAAUGUAUGUUAACAGAAUGUUGUGCCUAUAAUAUAAUAUAUAUACAACUUUCAGCAACGGAUCUCUUGGCUCUCGCAUCGAUGAAGAACGCAGCGAAAUGCGAUAAGUAAUGUGAAUUGCAGAAUUCAGUGAAUCAUCGAAUCUUUGAACGCACCUUGCGCUCCUUGGUAUUCCGAGGAGCAUGCCUGUUUGAGUGUCAUUAAUAUAUCAAACCCUUUGGUUUUGGAUGUGGGGGGUAUGCUGGGCCUCUUAAAGGGGUUCAGCUCUCCUGAAAUGCAUUAGCAGAACGACCUUGUUCAUUGGUGUGAUAACUAUCUACGCUAUUGAAUGUGAGGGACAAGUUCAGCUUUCUAACAGUCCUUGGACAAUUCAUCAUUAAUGUGACCUCAAAUCAGGUAGGACUACCCGCUGAACUUAAGCAUAUCAAUAAGCGGAGGAAAAGAAACUAACAAGGAUUCCCCUAGUAACUGCGAGUGAAGCGGGAAAAGCUCAAAUUUAAAAUCUGGCGGUCUUUUUGGCUGUCCGAGUUGUAAUCUAGAGAAGUGUUAUCCGCGCUGGACCGUGUACAAGUCUCCUGGAAUGGAGCAUCAUAGAGGGUGAGAAUCCCGUCUUUGACAUGGACUGCCAGGGCUUUGUGAUGCGCUCUCAAAGAGUCGAGUUGUUUGGGAAUGCAGCUCAAAAUGGGUGGUAAAUUCCAUCUAAAGCUAAAUAUUGGCGAGAGACCGAUAGCGAACAAGUACCGUGAGGGAAAGAUGAAAAGAACUUUGGAAAGAGAGUUAAACAGUACGUGAAAUUGCUGAAAGGGAAACGCUUGAAGUCAGUCGCGUCAUCCAGGAAUCAACCUUGCUUCUGCUGGGUGCACUUCCUGGUUUGAUGGGUCAGCAUCAAUUUCGACCGUUGGAAAAAGGUUAAGGGAAUGUGGCAUCUUUGGAUGUGUUAUAGCCCUUGGUCGCAUACAAUGGUUGGGAUUGAGGAACUCAGCACGCCGCAAGGCCGGGUUUUUAUACCACGUACG